CAGCCCCCAGCUCCAGCACCUCCCACCCUGCACCCCCGGACACCCCCGGCCCCACAGCGGGCCCCCCAUGAAGCAGGACGAGGUGGAGCUGCUGGGUCAGGACGGGCACAUCUACAAGGGCCGGCGGGACCUGCGGCUGCCUGCGCUGGUGGGGAAGGACGGUACGGCCUGGGGGGGGGCUGUGUG
rnacentral:lncRNA from 1 species